rnacentral:sRNA from 2 species
AUGCAGGGCGUCUAGGGUUCCGCCUCACUCUCUCCCUUGAGGGUCUGGUCCAAGAGACGCCACCGGCCGGGCAAAUUCCCGGCGGGACACGGCGGGGCAAAAACCCGGGAGAA